UCAAGUUGCUGUUCCAAAUCGAGCUCUAUUAUAAUUACUCCUGUUGUUGAGUUUCUUGUCCGAUGGGAUUUUUUUGAGGAUGCCAUUAAUGGCGCAAGGAGAACAUUGGAGGGGCUCUGUAGUACAAACCGAACCCUAAGUUCCAAUCUUCAGCUAGCAGAACAUAGAAGGUCUCUUCCUAUUUGCUUCAGUCCAGUGGAGAAACGUUUGAUUGAGGAGGUUCGAAAGAAUGAUAUUUCGAUUAUUGUUGGUGAAACCGGUAGUGGCUAUCUCUAUUUUGCUCGGAACCAAGUUAAUUGAUGUUCUGUGUAUUUUUUUUUCUCUUUUUUUCGCUCACGAAGAAUUGCCUCAGUUCGUAUACAAUGCUGGAUUCUGUCGGGAGGGAAAGAUGAUUGGCUUUUACUUUGGUGGACGUGAGGUUCCUGGGCAGUGCUUUCGUCUUUAUCCGGAGUGGGAAUUUGAGAGACUCGAAGAUAUUCAACUAAACCAGAGAUCAAGAGAUGCAAUCUCUCAAAUAUAAUUUUGCAGCUGACGGCUCUGGGAACUAAUGAUAUAGUUGGAUUUAGAUAAACCUUCAAGUGGUGAGGAAAACCACGGGAUGACGGUUGGAGUUUGCUCUAGAAGUAGCGAUGUUGCUGAGCCUAUGUUAAAGCCUCAGUGGUACGUGAGUUGCAACGUGAUGGCAACGGAGGCUCUUGAUGUUGCAGCAGUACUCUGCUGAAUUGAGAAGAUGGCUAGAGAACAUAUGCGACUGGUGCAUCUCGAGACAGCUUUGAAUACCGGCAUGAUACGCCGCUCUAGAAGAAGACGAUCACCUUAAGGAAGCAGGUGCCUACGACGACCAAGAAACGAGGAAGAUGCUUCCGUUAUCCGUUUUGGGGUGGCCAGAUGAAACCGAGGACUUCAAUGGGUCUGAUUAGUAACAUAAUGGAGCUCAACUCGGAUUGGAACACCACGACCUCUUGUUGCUUCUCCGAUAUACACUCUACCUAUAUCCACCAUUGGUAUGAUCUCACUUGGUCAGGUGCAAUUAGAAACCCACUCUCAAAACCGCUACUAGAAACUGCUCUUUCUCCUUUAUCUUUCUCUUUGUUCUCCUUUUCCUCAGUCUGGUCACAACACCACCAGCUCCGAUCUGCAGCUGAUGAACUUGCCACUGCCUCACCACCGCCAUGGAUCAGUCUCACCUUUGUUGCCGUUCAUCCGAUGUCAAAGUUAUUAUAACUAUGCCACUCCAAAGUCCAACCACAAUGUAUAUCACCAUUAAAAUCUAAAUUUUGUUCUGAUGUGGAAUCUACCAACCAAGCGUUAGGGGGUUUCUCAGAAAACAGUUUGAAGUAAAAAUCAAAAAUCCCAUGAAAUUUCAAAGAGUUUUUAAUAAGUAUUAUAUUUUGUACA